rnacentral:tRNA from 1 species
GGUGGAGUGGUUUAGAGGUUAGCACAUCCGACCGGUCUUGGGAGGCCCAGAGUUCAAAUCCUGGCUCCGCCG